UACAGGGGGGGCAAGCGUUGUUCGGAAUUACUGGGCGUAAAGAGCCCGUAGGCGGUUUGUCGCGUCUGCUGUGAAAUCCCGAGGCUCAACCUCGGGUCUGCAGUGGGUACGGGCAGACUGGAGUGCGGUAGGGGAGAAUGGAAUUCCUGGUGUAGCGGUGGAAUGCGUAGAUAUCAGGAGGAACACCAACAGCGAAGGCAGCACUCUGGGCCGGUACUGACGCUGAGGAGCGAAAGCAUGGGGAGCGAACAGG
rnacentral:rRNA from 1 species